rnacentral:tRNA from 1 species
GUCGCGAUAGCUCAAGUGGUAGAGCAGCGGCGUUUCCUGCCGAAGAUCGUGGGUUCGAAUCCCGCUCGUGACG